rnacentral:sRNA from 1 species
UGGCGCUGCAGUGGCGUUUCCGACUGUGGGAGCCUCAGCUUCCCAGUCGUCCGAUGAGCCCGAGCAGUACCAGAAAAGUACCACUGUAAGUCAUGAGAUGUCUGGUCUGAAUUGGAAACCCUUUGUAUAUGGCGGCCUUGCCUCUAUCGUGGCUGAGUUUGGGACUUUCCCUGUGGACCUUACCAAAACACGACUUCAGGUUCAAGGCCAAAGCAUUGAUGCCCGUUUCAAAGAGAUAAAAUAUAGAGGGAUGUUCCAUGCGCUGUUUCGCAUCUGUAAAGAGGAAGGUGUAUUGGCUCUCUAUUCAGGAAUUGCUCCUGCGUUGCUAAGACAAGCAUCAUAUGGCACCAUUAAAAUUGGGAUUUACCAAAGCUUGAAGCGCUUAUUCGUAGAACGUUUAGAAGAUGAAACUCUUUUAAUUAAUAUGAUCUGUGGGGUAGUGUCAGGAGUGAUAUCUUCCACUAUAGCCAAUCCCACCGAUGUUCUAAAGAUUCGAAUGCAGGCUCAAGGAAGCUUGUUCCAAGGGAGCAUGAUUGGAAGCUUUAUCGAUAUAUACCAACAAGAAGGCACCAGGGGUCUGUGGAGGGGUGUGGUUCCAACUGCUCAGCGUGCUGCCAUCGUUGUGGGAGUAGAGCUACCAGUCUAUGAUAUUACUAAGAAGCACUUAAUAUUGUCAGGAAUGAUGGGCGAUACAAUUUUAACUCACUUCGUUUCCAGCUUUACAUGUGGUUUGG